GCCGAGCACUCCUACGGGAGGCAGCAGUGGGGAAUAUUGCACAAUGGGCGCAAGCCUGAUGCAGCCAUGCCGCGUGUAUGAAGAAGGCCUUCGGGUUGUAAAGUACUUUCAGCAGUGAGGAAGGUGGGUAUGUUAAUAGCAUAUUCAUUUGACGUUAGCUGCAGAAGAAGCACCGGCUAACUCCGUGCCAGCAGCCGCGGUAAUACGGAGGGUGCGAGCGUUAAUCGGAAUUACUGGGCGUAAAGCGCAUGCAGGUGGUUUGUUAAGUCAGAUGUGAAAGCCCGGGGCUCAACCUCGGAAUUGCAUUUGAAACUGGCAAACUAGAGUACUGUAGAGGGGGUAGAAUUUCAGGUGUAGCGGUGAAAUGCGUAGAGAUCUGAAGGAAUACCGGUGGCGAAGGCGGCCCCCUGGACAGAUACUGACACUCAGAUGCGAAAGCGUGGGGAGCAAACAGGAUUAGAUACCCUGGUAG
rnacentral:rRNA from 1 species